AGAGCCCAGAGAGGGAAGAGAAGAAACCCAGCGUUGGUGCGGUGCCCACCGCGGACUCGACUUCAUUCCACCUUCACGCUGAGAGGUGACACCGUCGUUCCCACAGUGAGACCUGGCGCUCGGGUGCCCCAGGGGGGGUUGCCCAAGGUCACAGAACAGCAAGCAGCAGGCCAAGAUACCUAGAGAGAGUUCGCGGGGCCGGAGGCUCCCUGCUGUCUCCUGCAAGUGCGUGGGGGUGGGGUCUGAUUUCCACCCGUGUUGGACGUCAGCGGCCUCCGACGCUUUUUGGAAGCAGACUUUUCAGGAACACCUGCUGUGUGGCCGGCACUGUAGUAGGUGCCAGGGAUACAAAGAAGAAACUUUCAGGGCUCUUAGGAAGACAGGAAAACAAGUCAAUCAGCAAUGGUCCUAGCGUGAGCCUAUAACUCAGCAUGAACAUCGGCCUUCCGGGUGUUGUGUUCAUCAUGAAUGAGAAGACGUGCAACCUGGUGUAUGGGGGCCGGAGUAAGGGCCUAAGACAAGCUCAUCCACACAUGACCUUGACAUGAAAACGGUGUGGACUCGGCUAACUUGGCUUCACCCUGCGUUCCCCAACAGCACUUUGUGAACCACUCUCUCAGUCUUUUUCUUUCAGUAACGUUUUGUGUCCUCCCAAAUUAUAAAAGUAAUGCAUGCUUUACUCAGCUACUCUCAAUACAGAAAAGUUCAAAACAAAAAACCAAACAGCCAUGUGUAGUGGCUCAUGCCGGUAAUUCCAGCACUUUGGGAGGAAAAAGGAUCACUUGAGCUCAGGAGUUCGAGACCAUCCUGGGCAACAUAGCAAGACUCUCGUCUGUACAAAAAAAAAUUAAACAUCAGCCAGUCAUGGCUGCAUGCAUUUGUAGUCCCAGCUACUUGGGAGGCUAAGGUGGGAGGAUUGCUUGAGCCCACGAGGUCGAGGUUGCAGUGAGCUGUGGUUGUGCCACUGUACUCCAGCCUGGGUAACAGAGCAAGACCUUGUCUCAAAAACAAAACAAAAUAAAACAAACACUCAUUUCUACAUCAUUCAAAAAAAUUGGUUCAUAUUGUUCUCUCAACAUUUUCCUCUUACACAAUUUCUUUGCCAUAAUGAUAAUUCCAGUUUUCUAAGCACUAGGCAGUGCUGUAAGCCCUCUGCAUGUAUUAACUCAUUUGAUACUAUCUCUGUACCCUGGGAUGUGGAUCUCCAUCCUUACAUGAAUUCAUGCACUCCCUCCUUCGUUCAUUCAGCAGACUUUUCAGGAACACCUGCUGUAAGCCUGGCACUGUGGUAGGUGCCAGGGAUAUAAAGAAGAAAAUUUCAGGGGUUUUAGGAAGACAGCCAAACAAGUCAAUCAGCCAUGACCCUAUCAUGAUGAGGAAACUGAGGUUCUGAAUGAUUAGAUGACUCACCCGAUAUCACACAGCUGGUAAGCACGUGAACCAGGAUGAGAAACCCAGGCUAUCUAUGCCAGUGCCCAGUUAACCAGUUCACCAGAACACCAGAAGCCGCCCCCAGGGCUGCAAGCUGACCAUGCCUGGGACACAGGAGGUUGCAGUGGUGAAGAUCAACAGGCGGGGCGAGGAGCAUCUCCGUCUCCCUCUGAAGACCAUUUGGAAGAGGGUGUGAGAGCUGCCGCCAGGCUUUCCCAGAGAACAGCUGGGCCUGGAAGGGGCGGUCCAGGUCCCAUAAUAACUGCUACCUGCUGCUGCAGCAAUUUUCCCUGCUGGGUGUUUCCAAGUCCGAGUCUCCUGGGGGAGGAGGCUGGGAGGAGGAGGAGGAGGAGGGCUGAUUCUCUAAACUCCCCCUGCUUCUCACCAAAGGUCUGUCCUUGGCCCAGCUUCCCUUCCGAAGGUUGAGUAAUCUCAAAAAAUUGCAGCCUGGCAUGAAAGAGCAGGCCUGCAGGCCAAGCCAGAUCACGUCCGCACGCGGGAUGCUUGGCCCACAUGCUCCUGUACACUUGUAACUGUUAAACCAGAGGACAAGAAGCAACAGAUGUCCUCAGAUCACCAAACCAGCAAAUGCGCAGAGCCAUGGUGGGCGUCUGGCCCCAGUGCUUGGGUGGCCCCUAACAUCAGAUUAAGGAAAAAAGACCUCUCCUCAGCUGGAACGUCCCACUUCCUCCUCCCUCCUCCUCACCAGUAUUUUUCUCUCUGCUUUGCCUGGAUUGGAGUCCUGACCUGGCUACUCCCAGCUGUGUGAACUGGGCCAGCAACUUAGCUCCGUUGUGCCUCAGUUUCUCCAUCUCUAAAUGAAGCGCUUAUUCCUCUCUCAUGGAGCCGUCGUGAGAAUUACGUGAAUGAAUACAGGCUGACUACUUUGAACAGUGCCUGGUACGUAAAGCCCUGUACACUGUAGCUUUUGCUGAUGGUGGUAGACACUCUGCUAUUUAGAGAGGUGUUCUUUCUCUCGAGGCUUUGAUUCCUGCUAAAACAGAAAUCAUUUGGAAAUGGACACUUUUUCUGCCAUUUAGAGAGGUAUUCUUUGUCUUGAGCCUUUGAUUCCUGUUAAAAUAGAAAUGAUUCAAAAAUGAA